rnacentral:misc_RNA from 1 species
UUUCCGUAGGUGAACCUGCGGAAGGAUCAUUACAGAGUUCAUGCCCUCACGGGUAGGUCUCCCACCCUUGAAUAUUUAUACCUUAGUUGCUUUAGCAGGCCGUGGAAACACCAUGGGCUCCGGCUUAUGCGUGCCUGCCAGAGGAAACAAACUCUGUUUUUAGUGAUGUCUGAGUACUAUAUAAUAGUUAAAACUUUCAACAACGGAUCUCUUGGUUCUG